UAUUUUUAAUGUUUGUACUAUCCUAAUCUAAGGGUAUUUUCCUUCCUGUUUGAAUUCAACCAUGCUUUUAUUUUGAAAUACAGUAAAGCCCUUCUGGCAGAUGGAAGGUUAGGACAUGAAGUUAAGCACAGAAACAGGAAGUGGUUAGGGAUCCCAAACUGAGGUCAAACAGCUCAAAGGAACGGUAUCAAAGGUUAAUGUGUGAUGUCAUAAGGUCAAUGUGUGAUGUCAUCAGGUGGAUAUUUCUUUGGACUCGUCAGCUGAGCUGUCUGAGAGUUUGUUAAAGUGAAAUGAGACAUUCAAAGAUGCAGCAGUGUCCUUCUUUUACAUCACUGAGACUACAGGGAGACACUGAGGACGACUAUCUACAAAAUGUAAUGCUCUGAUUGUGGAUUGCGAUUAAUGCGUUAACCUGUUCGCUCAGAAAGAAACAUGGCCUAUAAAUCAAAGAUAUGUGGUUCCUAUGACUAUGUGAGUCUGAGUUCACCUGACGAGGUCCAGGAGUGUGUCGACGGUUGUGACGUUGGGCGUCGUCCCCGCUCUGUCGAUGUGAUCGGCCGUCUGAGAGACGCCUGGUUUGAUGGUCAUCACCAAAAUAAUACC